UGAUUCUCCUGCCUCGGCCUCCCAAGUAGCUGAGAUUACAAGGUGCUUGCCACCAUGCCUGGCUAAUUUUAUGUUUUUAGUAGAGAUGGGGUUUCCCCAUCUUAGCCAGGCUGGUCUUAAACUCUUCACAUCAGGUUAUUUGCCUGUCUCUGUCUUCCAAAGUGCUGGGAUUACAGAUGUGAGCCACCACCUCCAGCCAGCUUUUUUUAAAUGUAAGCAUGUACAGCUAUAAAUUUCCCGCAUAGCACUGCUUUUGCUGCAUCCCAUAAGAUUUGAUAUGUUGUUUUGUCUCAAAAUACUUUAUAAUUUUCCUUAUUAUUUUUCUUCGAUCCAUAGUUUUGUAGUAUGUUGUUGAGUUCCCAUAGAUUUGUGAAUAUUCCAGUUUUCCUUUUGCUAUUACGAUUUCAGUCCUUUAAAAUGUAUUAAAUCUUGCUUUCAGGCCUAAUGAUCUUUCCUAGAUAACAUUCCACAUGUACAUUGAAGAAUGUGUAUUCUGCUGCUGGGUGAACUCAUCUGUGUAUGUCUGAUUCUCCAACCUUCCCGUGGAGCCACACCACCUCCUGUCUUGGCACUUCAUGAGUCCAAUGCUGCUUCCCAAGAGGAUCUGGUUGGUAGACCGUGACCUUGAUUUCUGCCUGUAAGCCUCACUUUUUUCUCAUCAGCCACCACCUUUUUGGUACUAGAAGAGUGCUUUUUAUAGUACACUCAUCAGUGGAUCCUGAAAUCGCAACCUGGCCAUUUGGAUGUUCAACUAAUGCUUUAUGCUGUGGAGUCCCUGGAACUCAGCAACCCGUGCCGGAACUCACUGGAGCUCAGGCUGACAGCACAGGUGGAAGUGGGGAGAGUAUUUAUGCAGCAA